rnacentral:rRNA from 1 species
CAGUCGCCGCGGUAAUACGGAGGGUGCAAGCGUUAAUCGGAAUUACUGGGCGUAAAGCGCACGCAGGCGGUCUGACAAGUCAGAUGUGAAAUCCCCGGGCUUAACCUGGGAACUGCAUUUGAAACUGUCAGGCUGGAGUCUUGUAGAGGGGGGUGGAAUUCCAGGUGUAGCGGUGAAAUGCGUAGAGAUCUGGAGGAAUACCGGUGGCGAAGGCGGCCCCCUGGACAAAGACUGACGCUCAGGUGCGAAAGCGUGGGGAGCAAACAGGAUUAGAUACCCCUGUAGUCCCUGUCCUUAUACA